UACAGAGGGGGCAAGCGUUAUUCGGAAUUAUUGGGCGUAAAGCGCACGUAGGCGGCUUUGUAAGUUAGAGGUGAAAGCCCGGGGCUCAACUCCGGAACUGCCUUUAAGACUGCAUCGCUUGAAUCCGGGAGAGGUGAGUGGAAUUCCGAGUGUAGAGGUGAAAUUCGUAGAUAUUCGGAAGAACACCAGUGGCGAAGGCGGCUCACUGGACCGGUAUUGACGCUGAGGUGCGAAAGCGUGGGGAGCAAGCAGG
rnacentral:rRNA from 1 species